GGCUCUUUGUAUUAAUAGCAGAUAAAGAGUCGGACCUGCCCGGUGAAAAUUUUAACGGCCGCGGUACUCUGACCGUGCAAAGGUAGCGUAAUCAUUUGCCUUAUAAUUGAAGGCUGGUAUGAAUGGUUUGACGAGGGCAAUACUGUCUCUCUCUCAGUUAGUAGAACUUAACUUUCAGGUGAAGAGGCCUGAUAAAAAUUGAAGGACAAGAAGACCCUAUUGAGCUUGAAAAUGAAACUAGAUUUUUAUAUUUGAGAAAAUUUUAAACUAGUCAUUUUUUUGGUUGGGGCGACCGGGGAACAACAAAAGCUUCCCUUAUUUUUAAAACUUACAGGUAAAGAUCCAGUAUUACUGAUCAGAGAAAUUAGUUACCAUAGGGAUAACAGCAUAAUCUCCUUUGAGAGACCUAAUCGAAAAGGGGGGUUGUGACCUCGAUGUUGGACUAGAAUAUCCUAAAGGUGCAGAAGUCUUUGAGGGUUGGUCUGUUCGACCAUUAAAAUUCUACG
rnacentral:rRNA from 1 species